rnacentral:rRNA from 1 species
GAUGAACGCUGGCGGCGUGCCUAAUACAUGCAAGUCGAGCGAACAGACGAGGAGCUUACUCCUCUGACGUUAGCGGCGGACGGGUGAGUAACACGUGGAUAACCUACCUAUAAGACUGGGAUAACUUCGGGAAACCGGAGAUAAUACCGGAUAACAAGUUGAACCGCAUGGUUCAACAGUGAAAGACGGUCUUGCUGUCACCUAUAGAUGGAUCCGCGUCGCAUUAGCUAGUUGGUAAGGUAACGGCUUACCAAGGCAACGAUGCGUAGCCGACCUGAGAGGGUGAUCGGCCACACUGGAACUGAGACACGGUCCAGACUCCUACGGGAGGCAGCAGUAGGGAAUCUUCCGCAAUGGGCGAAAGCCUGACGGAGCAACGCCGCGUGAGUGAAGAAGGUCUUCGGAUCGUAAAACUCUGUUAUUAGGGAAGAACAAAUGUGUAAGUAACUAUGCACGUCUUGACGGUACCUAAUCAGAAAGCCACGGCUAACUACGUG